CAUAUCAACUUUCAAUGCCAUUUACUGUGCCUACCAUGGUGACCACGGGUAACGGGAAAUCAGGGUUUGAUUCUG